UGAUUUCUUCGGAAUGAAACUAGAUAUGACUUAGUGGCGGACGGGUGAGUAACGCGUGAGGAACCUGCCUUUCAGAGGGGGACAACAGUUGGAAACGACUGCUAAUACCGCAUAAGCCCACGGAUCCGCAUGGAUCUGCGGGAAAAGGAUUUAUUCGCUUCAGGAUGGACUCGCGUCCAAUUAGCUAGUUGGUGAGGUAACGGCCCACCAAGACAUCGAUGGAUAGGGGUUCUGAGAGGAAGGUCCCCACAUUGGAACUGAGACACGGCCCAAACUCC
rnacentral:rRNA from 1 species